AUGCACGUUCCCCAGUGGAUCAAGGAUUACUUCAACGGCCUUGGCUCCUUGGAUAUCAGGAUCGGCAAACUGGAGGAGGAGCAGGAUCUCAAGAUUCUGCGGGAGAUGCCCAACCUGUGCAUACUCACGCUAAGGCUCGAAGUCGUCCCCAGAGAGCCCAUAGCCGUCAGCGGUGAAGGGUUCCCAAGGCUCUUGAAACUGAUUGUCGACUGCCGCAUGCCACGGGUUAUCACCUUCCAGGAAGGAGCGAUGCCGAUGCUGGAAGUUCUCGAAUUUGAGUUCCAGUUCUACGGUGGCCCACCUCCACCUGCAAAUGAAGACUACCCUCCGGUUCUGGGUAUCAAGCACCUCCGGAACCUCUUCGGUGUCGAGUUUAGAUGCAACCAGCAAUGGUAUGGAGGAGCAGCAGAGAGCAUGAGCGCCAUGAUUGACGUGGUGAGGAAAGAAGCCCGGGAGCAUCCCAACAAGAUCUACUUUCAUGUCACUGGCUGCGCGAUCGAGGUUUUCCUAGCAAAGGAGAGCUUGGCACGGGAGGUUUCCAGCAGCAGCAGUCGGACUGGCGCUGAGUCUUUUCCGGAGAAGAAUAGUGCACAGGAGGUUUCAAGCAGCAGUGGGACGGGCGAGAUCAAGGAGGAGGAGGAGGAGGAGGAGAUCCUGGAAGCAGCAGCGAGCAGCGUGAUUGGGUUUCUUGCUUGA
rnacentral:rRNA from 1 species